rnacentral:lncRNA from 1 species
UGACAUUCUAUGCAGGAGACAAUCCUGCUUUCAAUUUAGGUAUAAAAAAAAUGUUUUAUGUAAAUUGUGACAUAGCCACCAAUUUAUUAUUUUUCUGUCAGGGUUAUUUCAAACAAUUUCAUAGUUCCAUUCUUUGUUUCAUGAUUGGGCAGAUUUCAUGAAGGAAACAUACUCCUACCAAACAAACACGACUGCGACUGUCCAAUACAGCAGUGAAGCCUCUGACACAGCAGAACCUGCAGUGUGUGGCCCUCAGCAUCCCAGACCUCCACUAGCGUCUCACAGACCAUCCUUAUGCCCCGGAUCUCCUCCACCUUCAGACAGACCCUCUACUCCUGGACUAUAGCUCUCCAGCGAGACCAACCCUGGAUCCCAGAAAGCAGACAUGAGAUAGUGGAAUGUUCCAGAGAGACUAUUCCCCUGACUAAGAUGUCUCUUCCUGAGGACCAGUUCCAUGGCUCUCAAGGGGAUAGCGAGAGCAGCAGUAACACUGACUGAUUCCUCUGUGACAGACUUCCCAGGGAAGGAGUGGACCUCUGUGAACUACAGAGGCCUGGAGUUUAUAAGGGCUUUCUCCCCAAUUAGACAGACUGACGAUGCAACCGAUAUACUGGGAAGUUGUAAUAUCAUCGAUUACACUGCUUACGAGCAGUUUGUCUUUGUCGAUGUGGACAUCCUCAAGGCAAAAGAUCCUUCAGGAACAGAGGAAGCUAGUACUGCCUCCAAAAUGUUAGAAGAGAAUAGUUUAGAAAGAGAGGAAGCUAGUACCACCUCAAAUGUUAGAAGAGAAUAUUAGAAAGAGGAAGCUAGUACCACCUCCAUAGGGAAGAGGGGAAUAGUUUUGUAAGAGAGGAAGCUAGUACCACCUCCCUAAGGAGAGGGGAAUAGUUUUGUAAGAGGAGGAGCUAGUCCCCUUCAUAAGGGAAGAGGGGAUAGUUGUAAGAGAGAGGAAGCUAGUACCCCCUCCAUAAGGGAAGAGGGGAAUAGUUUUUGUAAGAGAGGAAGCUAGUACCACCUCCAUAAGGGAAGAGGGAAUAGUUUUGUAAGAGAGGAAGCUAGUACCACCUCAUAAGGAAGAGGGAAUAGUUUUGUAAGAGAGGAGCUAGUACCACCUCCAUAAGGGAAGAGGGGAAUAGUUUUGUAAGAGAGGAAGCUAGUACCACCUCCAUAAGGGAAGAGGGGAAUAGUUUGUAAGAGAGGAAGCUAGUACCACCUCCAUAAGGGAGGGGGAAUAGUUUUGU